GUGCAGGUACAAAAAAGUCAUAGCAUAACAAAGGAUCUCCAUUCGACAUACAAAGCUCGAGUUUUGGAGGAGUGAUAAAACAGCAAAGGAUCUCCAUUGAUUUGACGCAGCGAUGAAGGUCCUAGGAAUCGAUUUCAGCUGCGCCUUGGGGGCUCUCGGCGACGGCCACUUCCCCAACAAAGAUUGCUUGCUGCCCCUUGUUUCCAAGCUCCUCGGUUACGCCAUCGUCGCCGCCUCCACCACCGUCAAACUCCCUCAGAUAAUAAAAAUUUUGCAACAUGGAAGUGUCAGAGGUCUUAGUAUUAUCUCUUUUGAGCUUGAAGUUGUUGGUUACACCAUUGCUCUGGCGUAUUGCCUUCAUAAGGGGCUUCCAUUCUCAGCUUAUGGGGAAUUGGCCUUUCUUUUGAUCCAAGCUCUAAUAUUGAUUGCCAUUAUCUAUUAUUACUCCCGACCUAUGGGUACCAGAACAGCGAUCACGGCAUUACUAUAUUGUGCCAUAGCACCAACCGUAUUAGCUGGCCAAGUUGAUCCUGUUCUCUUUGAAGCUCUAUAUGCAUCCCAGCAUGCAAUCUUCCUUGGUGCCAAGAUCCCACAGAUAUGGGCGAACUUUUCUAAUAAAAGUACAGGGGAGCUUAGCUUCUUAACGAACUUAAUGAAUUUUGCAGGUUCCAUGGUGAGAGUUUUCACCAGCAUCCAAGAACAAGCACCCAAAAGUGUUGUGUUGGGCUCCGUAAUUGGAAUUGCGACAAAUUUCACCCUCCUGAGUCAGAUACUUAUAUACCAAAAGGCAAAGCCGCGUGCUGAGAAGGAGAAGAAAACAGAGUAGAAGAAUUGACGCCCAAGAUAGGUACCGGAGCUUGAGAUAAAGAUACCAACAGUUCCAGCAAGGAAGUCAGCAAAACACGUUCCAAGGAUAGGAUAUUCAAUCUUGUUUUUUGCCCAACGAUCCUCGUCGAAGAAAAGGAAAUUUCCAUCGUUCGGGCGAUGCAAGAGUCGUCCUGAAGCGCCCGGAGUCCUUGCCUGAAACCAGUAUGCGUAUGGUUUUGAUGCAUCUACAUAGAAGAGACCUUGCUUCAGAAAGCAACCAGCAAGAUUGUUGCAAUUAAAUAGCUUAAAAUGACAAACUGGUUGGAAUUUAAUAGCCUAAACUGGCCUUUCUCAUCAAAUACAAUAUUUUUGGUUUUGGUUGGAUAAA